AGUGAACGCUGGCGGUAGGCCUAACACAUGCAAGUCGAACGGCAGCACAGUAAGAGCUUGCUCUUACGGGUGGCGAGUGGCGGACGGGUGAGGAAUACAUCGGAAUCUACUUUUUCGUGGGGGAUAACGUAGGGAAACUUACGCUAAUACCGCAUACGACCUACGGGUGAAAGCAGGGGAUCUUCGGACCUUGCGCGAUUGAAUGAGCCGAUGUCGGAUUAGCUAGUUGGCGGGGUAAAGGCCCACCAAGGCGACGAUCCCUAGCUGGUCUGAGAGGAUGAUCAGCCACACUGGAACUGAGACACGGUCCAGACUCCUACGGGAGGCAGCAGUGGGGAAUAUUGGACAAUGGGCGCAAGCCUGAUCCAGCCAUACCGCGUGGGUGAAGAAGGCCUUCGGGUUGUAAAGCCCUUUUGUUGGGAAAGAAAAGCAUCAGGUUAAUACCCCGCUGUUCUGACGGUACCCAAAGAAUAAGCACCGGCUAACUUCGUG
rnacentral:rRNA from 1 species